GCAGAAUAGUAAAAAAAAAAAAGUAACUGCAAUAAUAUACAUUACCAUCUAUUAGACACUAAAGUCCACAAUUGCUCAGUUGCACUACUGGUCAUCCACAGAAUAGCAGCGGUCACCCCAUAGUCCUCCCCAUUUUGUGUUGCAGCUGGGCUAGCUUGACUUGGGCUGGUCAGGGUGUGUGGUAAUGCUGUGGCUUCCAUUAUCAUCAGGGCAAUAAUGAAAAUUAAUAUGCCGAAAGCUCUAUGGUAAAAACAACUGCAGGUGUUGGCACUUUUAGGUACACCUGACUCAGCCCAACACAUCUUCAGUCAACUAAACCAUACAUGCCCUCUUGCACACCUCCAUUGCAAUCCCUUUAACAAGGAGGGCACUGCUGAGAUCUUUUGUGGGUGCUGGUGAAUGAGUGAGCUUAGGGAGGAGGGGUGAGAUUUGAACCACCUGUCCAAUCACUGAGAUCACCCAGAGAAGCGCUGUUAUUUGUUCCCCAGGUUACAGAGGCCUGACUGGAAUCAACUAUAAGUCAGGCAUUUAGUGUUGUCAGUCCCCUGCUGUCACUGCUGUCAAUCACUGACUUGGCAGGCAUCUUCGUUUUUUACUUUCAGGCAUCUCUUGAAAACAACUUACAACAACCUUUAUUGAAUAGCCAGUCAUUUCAUUGAUUGCUUUGUAUAGCAUUUGAAUGUUUUUGCAUUGCUGUACACCACCCUGAUGUUAUGCGAGAAGGUAGUAUAGAAAUACUUUGAUAAAUAAAUAAAUUAAAUACAGUCUUGCAAAUAGGACUGCAUAAGUUACUAGACCAUAAGCAAUUCUUCCCCACUUUGCCCACUAACUCACUCCUGUGGCCCAUUUAUGGACAAAUAUCUUGCCAUGCUUCUCUGACUUGGAGGUGAUUCAUAUUUGCCAAAGGUGAAUAUACGAGUUGCUGUUUUUAAGCCUAGAUAUUAUCACUGCAACUACCAGCUCAUGCCACGUAUCUGAUUGGACAACCUCCAUUCUGACAUUUUAAUUACCCCCUUUUCCCUUGCAACCCUUCCCCAGCAUAACAAGUUUUUGUGUGAUCAGAUAUCACACUGGGAGUCAACAGUUUUUCAAAGGGAGUGCUGUUGGGACUGGUUGCAUAAAAGACGGACAGAGUUAAGGGUAUAGGGUAUAAUGUCUGGGUUUUCCUAGGAAGUGUCUAUGCCAAGUGCCCACUGAAAGGAGGGUGGAAAUGGUAAAAUAAGCAUCCAUUAUACUCCUCAGUAUAAUAAGAACACACACCAAACAUAUGGGGCUACUGUUCGGUCCCACAGGGGCCCUCAAAGUGCCUUUCAAAACAAACAAGCAGCAGUGUAGGAACACAGGAAUCUGCCUUAUACUAAAUCAGACCUACUAGUCUAUCUUGCUCAGCAGGCAGUACCUCUCCAAGGUUUCAGGCCCUACCUGGAGGUGGUGGGGACUGAACUUGGGACCUUCCGCAUGCAAGGCAGAUGCCCUCCCAGUGAGCAUGGAAGACUCUGCCCCCAAAUCACCACCUCAUCGAAAGUGGCAGCAUUGGAAAGCCUACAAGGGUGGUGGUGCCAUUGAGGCAGAGGUCCAGGGUCCCACUCAGCCCCCCAAAUGCAGGAGUACACAAAAGUUCAUAAAUUAUGAGUCUAAAAUUACCUACCUGUGCCACUUUACAGGGCAAGGGUCUCCCCUUGGUCAGCUCAUGUUUCAGACCAUGUAUAACAUUGAAUAACACAGACAUGGCUAGUUAUCCAUUACUGUAGUUAUCUUGCUCAGGCUGAGUUUAACCAAGGAACAGAACUUUUGGAACUAGGUUUUUUUUUGGGGGGGUGCAUUCCCUAUUUCCCACCUCCAUUCCCCAAAGGGAGCUGGGUUAGUAGUAUAAGCAGAAGAGGUAGUAGAUGAUGCUGUAGAGGGAGCUUAGAGUUUGCAAGCAAGUUGGUAAUGUUUUACCUCUCCCCACAUGGCAUCUUGGCUCUGUGUUAAUCCCACACAGUCUCAGAGUGCCUCCCUUUUUUCCCAUCGCAGCUCAGGCUUGCAGUCUGGGUGUGCUUUUGGACCCAGAAAGCCACGAAUGCUAUUGCUCACUUUAGGCUGGUGAAGUCACACAUGCUUUAUGACAUGUGUAAUGUCAUACAGUUUGAUUACUGUAAUGUGUGGAGCUGUCUUCCAAAGGGGUUUGGAAACCUCACAGGAAUAUCGGAAAAUGUCUUAUACUGAACCAGACCAUUGAUCCAUCUGGAUCAGUACUGUCUACACUGAACUGGCAGCAGUUCCCUAGGGUCUCAGGCAGGAGACACUCCCAGCCCUACCUGGAGAUGCCAAGGAUUGAACCAGGGACUUUGUGCAUGCAAAGCAGGUGCUCUGCCACUGAGCUAUGGCAGAAGCUAUAGUACUGGCUGUUUGUUGUUUUAAUUGUACCAACUUCAUUGGCUUCUGUUCUUCUUCUUAGACAAGUUCAAGGUGCUGGUUAUAACCUUUAAAUGUCCAAAUGACUUGAGGCCUGCGUUCUUUAAGGACCAUCUUCAAAUAAAUUAAGGACUGUUCCUUCUGCAUGAUCCUGUGUUCACCUACUUUGGUUGCCAAGGAAUGGCCUGGCUCCAUGUCUCACUACCAGCAAAAAUGCAGUUGUACAACAUCGGGGAUCAUUAAGGGAAAGGGAAAUGCAGCGCUAACCACUCUGCCAUGGUUGGCUCAGCUCCCAAGAAUCCGCAAGACGAGGCUGAUGGAAUGAGAGGCCAUUUUGCUGUUGAUGCAGAAAGCACAGGUGGAGAAUCACCAUUUUGCAUCAAGUGAGAGUAGCCGCCCAGGUGGAAGGGCAAGAGGUGGCAAGGUAAGCUUGUUUAAACAUACAAAAACAAAACACCUUUCUGUGUUUUCACCAAACUUUGGUUUGGGACUGUAGAACAGAAUCUGCAUCCCAGAUGGUUAGAAGUGCUACAUGUAAAAGAAGUAGGGAAGGCUACAUUUUAAAACAGAGCUGCCAGUGAACAGGGGUGGAAUACUGUGCAGACCCUCACCUUUUAAAUAUUAUUAACACAUUUUAAAAUAU